rnacentral:rRNA from 1 species
UACGUAGGGUGCGAGCGUUGUCCGGAAUUAUUGGGCGUAAAGGGCUCGUAGGCGGUUUGUCGCGUCGGGAGUGAAAUCCACUGGCUUAACUGGUGGCUUGCUUUCGAUACGGGCAGACUGGAGGUAUGCAGGGGAGAACGGAAUUCCUGGGUGUAGCGGUGGAAUGCGCAGAUAUCGGGAAGAACACCCGUGGCGAAGGCGGUUCUCUGGGACGGU